rnacentral:rRNA from 1 species
UACGAAGGGGGCUAGCGUUGUUCGGAAUCACUGGGCGUAAAGGGCGCGUAGGCGGCUUGAUAAGUCGGGGGUGAAAGCCUGUGGCUCAACCACAGAAUUGCCUUCGAUACUGUCUGGCUAGAGACCGGAAGAGGUAAGUGGAACUGCGAGUGUAGAGGUGAAAUUCGUAGAUAUUCGCAAGAACACCAGUGGCGAAGGCGGCUUACUGGUCCGGUUCCGACGCUGAGGCGCGAAAGCGUGGGGAGCAAACAGG